ensembl:lncRNA
UGCAUUUUAGAUAUCCCAGAAGGAAAUUCACAAUAAUGUAUGUAUAUACUGUAUAUAAAUACAGAUCAGUUAUUUUAUUUAUUGAAAGAAUACAUUUUACAGUUUUGAAAUGGAAAAAGGUCUCUAUAUUCAACUCUAUAUAUGCUGCAGAACAUUCUACUCCUCCUUUCUACACUGACCCUUCUAGCGCACAGAUUAAAAUCAUAAGAUUAGUCAAAAGAUUCUACAUCAUACUUAAAAUGAACAAAAGCAGAGUUCACAAAGACUGGUUUCAGAAUGGUAAAUGGUCUCAUUCAUCCAUUCACACACAAACACUAAUGGUAGCAGAGUUGCCACGCAAGGCGCUAAACCUGCCAUCGAGAGCAACUUGGGGUUCAGUGUCUUGUCCAAGGCCACUUUGGCAUGUGGAGUCAUGUGGGCCGGGAAUCAAACUACCAACCUUACGAUUAGUGGACAACCCGCUCUACCACCUGAGUCACAUCUGGCCGUUAGAAUAGUUAGGUUUAUUAGCAGUCAAGCAAGACAGCAAACAAACCAACUGAUACCAGGAGAACAAAUGCCCUGAACAUGCAACUUGCACCAAGGUUCCACUGGUUACAAAUAUCCUUAUAUACAUUUCAUGCAUGUUCCUUUAACCAAUCACACAUUUCCCCUUUUGUACAUCACAGGUGUCUCCACACUUAUCCUCGUUACACAAGUUCCCAUGCACUGAGUGAAUUCGCAUGUCCCAUUUUAGCUGCUUUGCUGUAUGAGGCUCAAGGGGAAUUUUUUUGGCUAGAUGGUUAUACAUUUGCAGAACAAUAAUAUACAUGUUUGUGAUGCCUUGGCCUUUUGAAACUCACCCAUACAUUGCUGUAUAACAGUCUCUGAAUUGAGACUUCUCAUUUCUUGUUUGAGCUGUACAUUCCAUAUGAAGACACAAUUCCUGUUUUUUCUGUUCUCUCCAAUUCUUAGUUUUAGAUCAUGUUCUUCAAUAAACAAAAACCUCUCUCCCUUCAUUAGGAUCACUCAAUGGCCUUGGGAUGUUAAUAAAAGACUACAUGCCCUGUGAGGUGUUCUGCAAAACCUUAUACUGUUUUAUAAAAUAAAAAAAAAAAUAAAAAAAACUGUGCCUGUGUGUAAUAUCAUUAUUAGGGCAGCUGUCAUGCAGGUCAUGCAUGUCAUCUCCUUCUUGCCCUUUCCUACACAUCCAUUAGAUAUUUAGUCUUACUUUACAUUUAUCUGUUCUUUCAGGCUUGACUUUUCACAACAUUUUAGAUCUUUAUCUCAAAUCCUUACACUUUCCACAUCAUUACAUUGAGGAGUCUAUAACUUGCCCCAUUACCCAUUUCCUCUUUAUUUACUCUUGAGACUUCUACCAUGGGUGAGUGAACAUUCUAACAUUAUCUGCUCUAUACUGUGUACCUAUGGGCCCCUAUGUUUACUCUGUUUUAUGGUCGGAUGAAUGGUUUUAACCGUCCCACUGUGUUGUGUUUUUAUGGUCAAACUCAACCAACCCUGAGUUUCCCUACAGUGCAACUGCACUUGAAUCUUUGUUCAAAUCCAUCCUUUAUUGUUGCCUGACAACAUAUGAAACUAACAUUCAUCUUUCAAUAAAAGCUGAAUCCCAAAAAUAAAAAAGGGGGGAAAAAAUCUAUUGUAUAACCUGUAUUUCCGUCGGAGGGCAGACAGUCUGCGCUUGAUUUGCCAGAUAAAGAACCUUCUUGUGGAAACUGUAGGAGAAUUGACUGUAACUGCUCUUGGGAGAGUCUAAAGUGGCUGGGUGAGCAGCUUUCUAAAAAAGCAGAGCAAAAAAACUUCAGUAAUUCAAAUUGUUGAUGCAAGACUGAAAACUGUAAAAUGAAAGCUCAUUAAAAGUU